rnacentral:rRNA from 1 species
CUGGCGGCAUGCCUACACAUGCAAGCGAACGGCAGCGACGGGAGCAAUCCUGGUGGCGAGUGGCGAACGGGUGAGUAAUAUAUCGGAACGUGCCCAGUCGUGGGGGAUAACGUAGCGAAAGCUACGCUAAUACCGCAUACGAUCUAUGGAUGAAAGCGGGGGAUCGCAAGACCUCGCGCGAUUGGAGCGGCCGAUAUCAGAUUAGGGUAGUUGGUGAGGUAAAGGCUCACCAAGCCGACGAUCUGUAGCUGGUCUGAGAGGACGACCAGCCACACUGGGACUGAGACACGGCCCAGACUCCUACGGGAGGCAGCAGUGGGGAAUUUUGGACAAUGGGCGCAAGCCUGAUCCAGCAAUGCCGCGUGCAGGAUGAAGGCCUUCGGGUUGUAAACUGCUUUUGUACGGAACGAAACGGUGAGCUCUAAUACAGUUUGCUAAUGACGGUACCGUAAGAAUAAGCACCGGCUAACUACGUG